ACAUCUAAAGUACAACAAGGCCUUGCCCCCACAAAAUGCAAAUCAUUUCUUUCACUUUCCUUUCAAACGCUCAAAAAAAGAUUUCAAUUUUAUUUCCUUACAAUUACCCAAACCCCAAUUCCUAAUUUUCAUAUUUGUUUGUGUAAUUGUGAUCAAAACUCGAUUUUUAUUGUUGGGUUGGAGGAACUUUUUGAAAAGUUUAAAAAGUGUGAUCAAAAUUCAAUUUUGUUUCUUCCUGUAUAUAUAAAUACAGAUUUUAAUUGUUGGGUCGUGGGUAUUUUUUGAAAAAAUUUGAAGAAAUAAGAUAAAAGAAAAAAGACGAGUUUUCAAGAUUCCCCAAAACCCCAAUUUCUAAUUGUGGUCAAAAUUUGAUUUUGUUUCUCUAUGUGUAUAUAACUCUAAAUUUUGAUUGUUGGGUCAGAGGAAUUUUUCAAUUAAAAAAAAAAGAAAAAAAAAAGAUGAGUUUUCAAGAUUCACCAAACCCCAAUUUCUAAUUGUGAUCAAAAUUCAAUUUUAUUUCUGUCUGUGUAUAUUACUGUAUAUUUUGAGUGUUGGGUCAGUGUUAUUUUUCGAAAAAUUUGAAGAAAUAUCAAGAUUCCCACAAUUUCCUUUCAAAUUCCCAAUCUUUAAUUGUGAUCAAAGUUUGAUUUUGUUUCUCUCUUUGUAUAUAACUGUAGAUUUUGAUUGUUGGGUCAGGGUUAUUUUUUGAAAAAUUUGAAGAAAAAUGAGUUUUCAAGAUCUUGAAUCGGGUCGGUCAUUGGGUUCUAGAAGGUUCCAUACAAAUGGGAAGCAGGACCCAACCCAAGCAGUAGUUUCUGGAAUCUUCCAGAUUAAUACUGCUGUUUCUACAUUUCAAAGGCUAGUGAAUACACUUGGUACCCCUAAAGAUACACCUGAACUACGUGAAAAGUUGCACAAGACAAGGGUACAUAUUGGCCAGUUAGUCAAAGAUACAUCUGCAAAACUUAAGCAAAUAAGUGAAACAGAUCAUCAUGCCGAUGUCAGUGCUAGCAAGAAAAUAACAGAUGCUAAACUUGCUAAAGAUUUUCAAGGUGUCUUGAAAGAGUUUCAAAAGGCUCAAAGACUUGCAGCAGAGAGGGAGACGGCAUACACACCUUUUAUUCCCCAAGCCGUUCUUCCUUCUAGUUACACAGCCAGUGAGAUAGAUGUUGCUUCAGAUCAGAGUCAGGAACAGCAAGCUCUCCUUGUGGAAUCAAGAAGACAGGAUGUUUUACAUUUAGACAACGAGAUUGCGUUCAAUGAAGCUAUUAUCGAGGAAAGAGGUCAAGGAAUACAAGACGUACAACAACAGAUUGGUGAAGUGAAUGAGAUUUUCAAGGAUCUUGCCGUGCUUGUUCACGAGCAAGGAACUACGAUUGAUGAUAUUGGCUCCAACAUUGAGAAUUCUCAUGCUGCUACUGCACAGGGGAGAUCGCAACUUGCUAAAGCAGCAAAGACGCAAAGAUCUAAUUCGUCUCUGGUAGUGGAGCAAAUUUAAAAUUCUCUUGGAUGGUUUCAAAUCUUUCAACCUAUGUGGCUUGGGACUGGCAAUGUGAGCAUGCUCAUGAUAGACUUGCUUGCUUCUGGUGAUAUUUGGAAUCAUACUUCUAAUUGUGAUCAUAGUACUUGCAGCAUGACAGAAGAUUUUGAUAUGGAGGAAAGGAUCCUAAACUCUUCACGAGUGGAAGUGACCUUUGUGAUUCAAGUGAUAAGAGUAUACUUUGAAUGCUUUAGUCAUGCUAGAGAAGUUGUGUGAAUGUGAAAUGAAGUUUUGUAUGCUUGGGGGAGGGGGCUGGUGGAUAUGUGAGGGGUUGUUUUCUAUAUUUGUAAAUUUUGUGCUUGGGGUUGCAAUUGUGUGUUGCUGCUAUGUAAUGGCUGGUUUGUUAAUAAAAUUUGAUUCUUAUUUGGAGGGACCA